rnacentral:rRNA from 1 species
AACGAACGCUGGCGGCAUGCCUAACACAUGCAAGUCGAACGAUACCUUCGGGUCUAGUGGCGCACGGGUGCGUAACGCGUGGGAACCUGCCCUUAGGUUCGGAAUAACUCCCCGAAAGGGGUGCUAAUACCGGAUAAUGUCUUCGGACCAAAGAUUUAUCGCUUUUGGAUGGGCCCGCGUUGGGUUAGCUAGUUGGUAGGGUAAAAGCCUACCAAGGCGAGGAUCCAUAGCUGGUCUGAGAGGAUGAUGAGCCAGACUGGGACUGAGACACGGCGCAGACUCGUACAGGAGGCAGCAGUGGGGGAUAGUGGGCAGUGGGCGAAAGCCUGAUCCAGCAAUGCCGCGUGAGUGAUGAAGGCCUUAGGGUUGUAAAGCUCUCUUACCCGGGAUGAUAAUGACAGUACCGGGAGAAUAAGCGCCGGCUAACUCCGUG